rnacentral:tRNA from 1 species
GCCUGGGUGGCUCAGUCGGUUGAGCAUCCGGCUUUAGCUCAGGUCAUGAUCUCACAGUCUGUGGGUUCAAGUCCUGCAUCGGGCU